CACUUGGCACGAAAGUGGGCACUCUAUAGUUGAAGAAGGAUAAGCUGCUGCAGCGAAGUUAAUCAUGGAAUUUAGUUACUUCCCAACACACAGUUCCAAGAUUGAUGACUCCUAUUAUAGGAUUAACUUCUUCAGCGUUUUCUACGUGAGCCCAAUUGUUCUGGCUGUGCGUCUUAGUUUGGUUUGCGUGGGAUUGUUAAGCAAUUUUGUCGUCUGCCUAGUCAUCUUGACACGUAAAGAUAUGCAAACUGUCACUAACAAGUUCCUAUUCAACCUUGCGAUAGGUGACAUAAUCGUCCUACUUUCAACUGCAGUAUAUGAAACAUCCAAUCUAUGGAACCCAAAAGGCAGCUUAGAAAUGUGCAUUUUUAGCUUAUUUAUAAUACCUUUAUCCUUUCAAUUAUCUGCGCUGACGAUUAUGGCAUUCACAACUGAGCGAUACUUAGCCAUCUGUCACCGCCUGAACUCGCAUGUCAAUUCCACUUCGCGCAGAGCGACGUGCAUCAUUGCAGCGAUUUGGCUACUUGCUAUUUCAUUAUCACUUCCUUAUGCCUUCUUAACGCUAGUAUACAUGACAUGAUUACAAUUCUGGUGGCAUUCAUUUUUUUUUCAUAAUAUUUAGUUUCAGUACGUUGACGGACAUUGCGUUCAAAACAAAAAAAGUCAUCGUAUUCAUACUAUGUUCAUUAUUUUGAUGACCGUUGUGUGUUUUGUCAUUCCUGGCAUUACACUGAUUUUCAUGUACAGCAAGAUGACCGCAACAAUUUUAAAACGCAAUCAAAUUGGAGAUUCAAAUACAGCUUCGUCAAACAUAAGGUUGAUUGCAAUGUUAGCAAUUGUAGUGUUGACCUUUUUCAUUUGCUGGGCACCGUUAUAUACAUGUGUCAUCAUUGGAGAAUAUGGCGAAAGGUGUAGUAAUGAUACGUGGAGUGUAGCUCUUGUGCUAAUACACAUCUCAUCUUCUGCCCUCAACC